rnacentral:rRNA from 1 species
CCGCCCGUCAAACCACGGGAGCUGGUAAUGCCCGAAGUCGGUUUUGUUAACUACGGAAACAACCGCCUAAGGCAGGACUGGUGACUGGGGUUAAGUCGUAACAAGGUAUCCCUACGAGAACGUGGGGAUGGAUCACCUCCUUU